AUGGGAUUCACCAGGGAACUCAUGGAGGUGCAGGCCCACGGCAACACCAAGUUGCACAUGAUCCACACCAAUGACUUGCACAAGGCGGCGACCACCAUCGAGCAAUACGAGCGACACCUCCAGUUCGAGCACCACAAGAUUGUCGAAGUUGAUAUGGAGUACACCAACGACCAUGGCAAAGAUCAGAAACCCGCCCUCGUCCAACUCUCCGUCGGCAAGGAUCAUCCGGUGCUGCUCUUCCAACUGAGCACCGCCGACAAGAACUGCACCAAGUUCGACAACUUCCUCGCCGACCCCAGGUACAUGUUUGUUGGCUUCUCCAUCAACGGCGACAUAGAGAUGCUUGGCCGCGUCGGACUGGAGAUCGCCCACUUCGUCGACAUCCAGAAGGAAUGGAGGGUGCCUACAACUACCAAGCCUCUGGACUCCCUUGGGGACGUCUCGGGCAUCCUUGUCCACGACUACUACAACGACAUGAAGAAGAAGCUCACCAACGCAGAACACAAGCGCUGGGCGUGCAUGCCCCUUUCCAUGAGACACAUCGAGUACGCGGCAAAGGACGCUCACGCUGCGUACGAGAUAUGGAGCCGCCUCACAAUCGUCCAGGAAGGUCUCCGCCGGAAAAAACUCGAGAAGGAGCUGUCCAGGAAGCGCGCUAGGUCCUGGGGCGACUGCGACUACUGA
rnacentral:rRNA from 1 species